rnacentral:rRNA from 1 species
UACGGAGGGUGCGAGCGUUGUCCGGAAUCAUUGGGCGUAAAGGGCGCGUAGGUGGCUUCUUGAGCGUGCGGUGAAAGCCUGGGGCUCAACCCCGGGUCGGCCGUGCGAACUGGGGGGCUGGAGCACUGUAGAGGCAGGCGGAAUUCCGGGUGUAGCGGUGGAAUGCGUAGAGAGUCCGGAAGAACACCGGUGGCGAAGGCGGCCUGCUGGGCAGUUGCUGACACUGAGGCGCGACAGCGUGGGGAGCAAAGCAGG